rnacentral:rRNA from 1 species
GACGAACGCUGGCGGCGUGCUUAACACAUGCAAGUCGAACGGAAAGGCCCUGCUUUUGUGGGGUGCUCGAGUGGCGAACGGGUGAGUAACACGUGAGUAACCUGCCCUUGACUUGGGAUAACUUCAGGAAACUGGGGCUAAAACCGGAAAGGGGCCCCUGCUGCAGGGGGGGGGUUGGAAAGUUUCGGCGGUUGGGGAUGGACCCGCGGCUUAUCAGCUUGUUGGUGGGGUAGUGGCUUACCAAGGCUUUGACGGGUAGCCGGCCUGAGAGGGUGACCGGCCACAUUGGGACUGAGAUACGGCCCAGACUCCUACGGGAGGCAGCAGUGGGGAAUAUUGCACAAUGGGCGGAAGCCUGAUGCAGCAACGCCGCGUGCGGGAUGACUGCCUUCGGGUUGUAAACCGCUUUCGCCUGUGACGAAGCGUGAGUGACGGUAAUGGGUAAAGAAGCACCGGCUAACUACGUG